CCAGCAAAAAUGGCUAAUCUCGAGUUGAAGGAGAAUCGGAUCGAUCUCCUCCCUUUCGUGGUCGUCCUUCUCAUCGCCGCCCACGUCAUUGCAUUUGUGUACUGGUUUUACAAAUUAGCUACGGAUAGGGCAUCGAAGAAAACGAAGAAGCACUAGCGACUACAAAGGAGAAUCGGCGAAGGAAGUGAACAUUAUAUGUUUUCGUCAUUUACGUUUCUCGUUUGAUUAAUUUUCUGACAAUUGUUUCUUUUUUUAUCGAUAUAUUGUUCGUUUACUUAGUCUCAUCUAUGAAUUGGUUGUUCAAAGUUGUUAAAAAAAUCUAUGUGAAAUGAUUCCGAUUUGAGUAGUGCAUUUCCUUUGAUUUCGAUCCUACAGUCGAGCAAUAAAUAGGUUCUGUUACAGUGUGAUAUGCUACUUCACUCAGUCAUUACAACAAACAGUUUGUGGCGUCGGUCUCAGAGGGCUAUACUCGCCUCUCUUUGUCUGCAUUUAUGCGUAUAUGUUUUUACUUCGUGUAUAGAUGAGGAUUGCUAUGAUUUCUUUGGUACUUUCAAUUGGGAAAGCAGCUUAUCGUAGAGCAUUGUGUGCUAUUAAGGAUAUACAAUGCUGUGGAUAUACAAACUGGGUAUUGCUUGUUGAAGAUUCCGUAUAGUGCCCAGAUAAUCUUCCUCCGGGAAUAGCUUGUUUGCUGGGAGAUGAAAUUGGUGAAGUUGCAAAAGUUGCUUUACUCAUUCUGCAUGAGAAAAUGUUGGGGAAGAAGUCUGAGUGGGCGCCUUACAUCAGCCGCCUUCCUCUGCGAAAGGAUAUGCAUAGCUCGGUGUUCUGGAGUGAUGAAGAACUGGAUAUGAUUCGACAGAGUGCUCUGUAUGAAGAAACUCUCAAACAGAAGAAACAGAUUGGAUAAGAUUGUUUGGCUGUUAAGUUGGUUUUUGAUAACUUCCCCGAAUAUUUCAUGAUAUUAAGCUGCAGGAUUUCGCAUAUGCAUAUGGAUUAGUUACUUCUCGAGCAUGGGUGAGCUAUAGGGGCGUUUCCAUGAUUCCCUUUUCGGAUUUCUUGAAUCAUGACAGACACUUCAGAGGCGUAUAUUUUGAGUGAUGAAGGCAAGACAACAUUAGUGGUUAUAGCUGGCUGUGGUUUUGCUCUGGGUGAUGUGGUCCUGAUAAGAUAUGGAAAGUUUUCGAAUGCCACACUCAUUCUGGAUUUCGGUUUUGCUGUUUCUUGCAAUUGUUAUGAUCAAGUUCAUGUUGAGCUUAAUGUACCUCAACACGAUGCUCUCUAUACGCAGAAGUUGGAUAUUCUUGGCAGAGAUCGCACACCAAGGAUCAAGGAUGACAACGAGUUUGCUUACUAUGACAAGUGGGACAUGAGAAUUUCCCAAUCACUUCGUGCAUUUGCUCGUAUGAUUAGCAAGAACUAGAUGACUUGGCGAAGGAAGCUGCAGAGAAUGAUGGGAGGCUAGCUCCUCAGAAGCCAUUGAAGAACAAGAACAUAGAGCUAGCAGCCUAUCAGCUGUCGUUUGACGAAAGAUUACAUUGAACGCAUUGAGUUGUGGCUUCCAACUCCUCCCACUAUAAGCGAGAGGUGUGCUCUAAGACGGCGAUUAGCACUAUAUCUCCUGACUGGUGAACUACGAGUGCUGAAGUCUGCUUCGGCGUGGCUGGAGAGCUACUGUUCGACGUUAUGAAAGAUACAUUUUGCAUUCUACUCAAUACAAGGUAAAAACAAUACCAACUUUACAUAAUCUCAAUUGUUUAGUUUGUACUUGUCUCAUUCAUGAAGUGAUUGUGUCCGAAUUUUUGUCAAA